ensembl:lncRNA
GCAAAGCGUGCUGAACGACCACAAAAUCCAAAAGUGCUCACACUGUGGAAAAGAGCUGCUGUCUUCCCUCGAAGACAGAUAUCGCAUUUCACACAUUUCCAGAUGUUGAAAGGAGUGUUGGGACACCCUGGAGUAAGAUAUUGUAUGAGGUCAGAGCUUUGCAACAGUGGUGACUGUGUGGAAAAAGUCUGUCCAGCUUUGAGGGGCUCAAGAGGGACCUCACAUUUGCCAUCGCUUGGGUUCUCAUCCAUCACUCCGUCAAGUCCCAGGUCAUAGAGGUUACUUCCUCUUCUGGGUCAUGAAGAGGCUUCACUCUACUCUGGGCACUUGGCUCUUCACACUCCUAGUGAUGCUAGUCUACUGCCAGAGUGGUGAUGAUGGAGAGUGGGGAUCAAGUGACGUCUCUGGGACUGCGGUCACUGGCAAUUCCUCCACUUCAGUCGUCCAUGCAGUCGGGGAUGAGCCAGACAGGACCAGGCCAGUUUUUCAGACCCUGCCAGAGACAGAAGGCGGUGACUGUUAUGUUCACUUUCACACCAGCCAAGUCAUGUCAAGGCGGUUACGAGCUUUCAGAGAGGAAGUUGCUUAUCUGAAGGCCCUUCAACAUGGGAACCAGGCAGUGAUGGAGAACCUGGUCCAGUUUGUAGGAGCAGAAAUGGGAGAUCAACACUACGAGGAGGUGAUCCAAGAGAACGUUGCUGGAAUCAGGGAGGAUCAUGUGAGCUGUGAGAGUGUGGUCACUAAAGCAGCAGAGGAGUUGGAGAGUCAACUGGAAGGAGAUGCUCAAGCCACUUUGGCUGGAAUUCAGAAAAUAAAAGAGGAGUCCCUUGCCUUUGAAGAAAUGCUGCGUACCACGACAGACAUCGCCUCUCGACUGGAGAGCUCCUCACGAGCCCUGCAUGUGGAGAUGACUGAACAGCUGAGGAAGAACAUGAGACAGCUGCGCGAAACUAAAUGACUCGGUGGGAAGCCAUCCAACCUGGAACAACAGAUAAAAUUCAGACAACCCCACAGCUAUGGUCUGGCUGUCUGGGCGCUAGGGAGCAGAUGGUGAAAAGACUGUAUGAGGCUCUGGAAAUCAGCAAGCAUGAACUCGCAUACAUUGGAGAGAGAGAGAGAGCAAGAUGGAAAAAUAAAAAAUAAAUGAAAAAAAAAAGACAUGGCAGUGAUGUCCCUGAGGAAUAAAUAAAAACAUGCCUUGCAGCUUGGAGCCAGAAUCUAAAGAAUCAGGACAAGAAAGUAGAAAUAUUGUGACUUAAUAUUAAUAUUUUAAAAUAUUUUGUGAUUACUAUAGUCAAUGAUUGAAAAAUACUGUAAGUAUAGGCUCUACUAAUAAAAUAUAAGUGUAUUACUCUAGUCAGUUGUGGUCACUUUUGCUGGAUGUGUAUUUUUUAAUGCAGUUCUGUGUGUAUGCUGCUAGCUAUUAUGAUCACAGAUACAGCUUGUGUGAAAGAAUGACUUUCAGUGACAUGAACUAAAGACUGUAUUGAGGGUUGUAUAUUUAUAAACUGCUGAUGGUGGGUUAUAGUCAUUCUUGAUGUGGCAUUGUUGAAUAUGAUAUUCAUAUUUGUGUAAGAUUAUCAGGAUAUCAAAAGUGUGGAAACACUGAAAUGCAACUUACAGUACAGAAUUGUUGAGGCUGCUUUUAUUAGAAAGAUUUAUGUGAAAUAGCAAUGAAAUAUAAUUACUGCCUAGGCCUGCUUUUACUUUCAGGAUUCCGAUCCUGUGUGUUUAAUUAGCAUAAUUGUUAUUAAUAAUAUAUGUUUCUGUCUCGAAAGUCAUCUACAGUAAAACUGCGUUUCAGUUUCACCUUCUGAGUGAGUUCUUGCUUCCCGUCAGCAUUUAUUCAGCUAUCCUGACCUCUAGCGACGAUUACUGCAAUAACAAUUCAAUCAGGUCUGGCACUUUAUUUUACAAGGUUUGUCUCCGUACGAGUUUGCGAACGUAUCCAUUAAACGUGAGGCUUUAUUUAUUA